rnacentral:rRNA from 1 species
AACGAACGCUGGCGGCAGGCUUAACACGUGCAAGUCGAGCGCAUCCUUCGGGGUGAGCGGCGGACGGGUGAGUAACGCGUGGGAACGUGCCCUCUUCUACGGAAUAGCCUCGGGAAACUGAGAGUAAUGCCGUAUACGCCCGCAAGGGGAAAGAUUUAUCGGAGGAGGAUCGGCCCGCGUUGGAUUAGGUAGUUGGUGGGGUAACGGCCUACCAAGCCGACGAUCCAUAGCUGGUUUGAGAGGAUGAUCAGCCACACUGGGACUGAGACACGGCCCAGACUCCUACGGGAGGCAGCAGUGGGGAAUCUUGGACAAUGGGGGCAACCCUGAUCCAGCCAUGCCGCGUGAUCGAUGAAGGCCUUAGGGUUGUAAAGAUCUUUCAGCUGGGAAGAUAAUGACGGUACCAGCAGAAGAAGCCCCGGCUAACUCCGUG